UACAGAGGUCUCAAGCGUUGUUCGGAUUCAGUUGGGCGUAAAGGGUGCGUAGGCGGCGCGGUAAGUCGGGUGUGAAAUCUCGGAGCUUAACUCCGAAACUGCAUUCGAUACUGCCGUGCUUGAGGACUGGAGAGGAGACUGGAAUUUACGGUGUAGCGGUGAAAAUGCGUAGAUAUCGUAAGGAAGACCAGUGGCGAAGGCGGGUCUCUGGACAGUUCCUGACGCUGAGGCACGAAAGGCCAGGGGAGCAAAACGGG
rnacentral:rRNA from 1 species